ACUUUCAUCCAUGGCUGAAUCUAUUAUCUACGCCGUUGCUGGAAACAUGAUAACCAAAAUGGGCUCUCUCGCACUCCGAGAGCUUGGAUUGUCAUGGAGAAUCAAUGAUGAGCUCGACAAACUCCAAGACACUCUUUCUGCCAUUAGAGCCGUGCUUCUCGAUGCUGAGGAGCAGCAGUCCAAGAGCCACGCAGUCAAGGAUUGGAUUUCAAAGCUUAAAGAUGUUUUCUAUGACAUUGACGACUUGGUUGAUGAGCUCUCUUAUGAAACCUUGAAAAAGCAAGUUCUUACUGAAAGUAGAAGAACCACCAAACAUGUACGUAUCUUCUUCUCUAAAUUUCAUCUGAUUUCAUUUGGUCUCAAAAUGGGUCAACAAAUUAAAGAAGUUAGGGAGAAACUAAAUGCUAUUGCUGAUGAUAAAGAUAAACUCCACCUUUCCAUGCGUAUGGGGGAGAUACAAGGCGAUGAGUUGAGAAAGAUACGAGAGACUUCAUCUUUUAUUCCUGAGGGAGAAGUGAUUGGUAGGGAUGACGACAAGAAAGUUAUUAUAGAUUUUCUAUUGGAUACCAAAACCAAAAAGGAUAACGUUGAAGUGAUUUCCAUAGUUGGUAUGGGAGGAUUAGGAAAGACCGCACUUGCUCAAUCUGUCUAUAAUGAUGAGAAGAUAAACAAACAUUUUCAAUUGAAAUUAUGGGUCUGUAUUUCUGAAGAAUUUAAUGUCAGAACAAUUGUUGGAAAUAUAAUAGAGUUAUUCGAGGAAAAGAAACUUGAGCCCCUCCAAUUGGAUAAAUUACAAAGUAUGCUUCGAGAGAAAAUUAAUGGAAAAAGGUACUUGUUGGUCAUGGAUGAUGUGUGGAAUGAAAGCCAUGAGAAGUGGAUUGAUCUAAAAAGAUAUCUAAUGGGUGGUGCAAUGGGAAGUAGAAUUUUGAUCACAACACGUAGCCAACAAGUUGCACAGACAUCUGACACAGUUUCAUUUCAUCAUUUAAAAGAACUCGACAAUCACAACUCUUGGGUGUUGUUUAGAAAAAUGGCAUUUUUAAACGAAGAAGAAGAGAUCGAGAAUUCAAAUUUGGUCAAAAUCGGUAAGGAGAUUGUAGCAAAGUUGAAAGGUUCUCCUCUUGGAAUAAGAGUAGUUGGCCGUUUGCUAUAUUUCAAAAACACGGAAAAGGAUUGGUUGUCAUUCAAGGACAAUAAUGAACUUGGCACAACUUUACAACAAGAAAAUCAGAUUCAACCAAUACUGAAGAUUAGUUUUGACCACCUUCCAUCUAACUUAAAGCAAUGUUUUAUGUAUUGUGCUUUGUUUCCUAAAGAUUAUGAGUUUUGGAAGGAUGAAUUGGUAAAACUAUGGAUGGCACAAGGUUUCAUUCAACCACAUGGUAAGAAGGCAAUUGAAGAUGUUGGGGAUGAUUAUUUUAAAGAGUUAGCGGGGAGGUCGUUCUUUCAAGACAUAAGAAAAAAUAAAUGGGGAGACAUCAAGAAGUGUAAGAUGCAUGAUUUGAUACAUGAUCUUGCGUGUUCGAUGGUAGAAAAUGAAUGUGUGGUUGUAAGUGAUGGUGUUGGGUCUAUUGACAAAAGGACUCGACAUGUCUCAUUUUUCUAUCGCCGAAGGCAAAUGUCGAGGGAACUAGUACCUAGAUUGUUCACUAAGGCAAAGAAGUUCAGAACAUUGAGUUUGAAUUCAGCUUCUAUUUCUUUUCUGAAAACAAUGUAUCGCAUUAAUCUUUUUCGAUUACGAACAUUGAAUUUGAAAUACUGUUGUCAUCCUCCUAAAUUUAUUGAUAAGUUGAAACAUUUGAGAUAUCUUAAUCUUUCUCACUUGCGUAUAGAUUUCCUUCCAAAGUUUAUUACCAAAUUGUAUAAUUUGGAAACACUUAUCCUUCGCUACUGCAAAUGGCUAAGAGAAUUGCCAAAAGAUAUUAGCAAUUUGAUGAACCUUAGGUAUCUUGAUCUACAUGGAUGCUUCCGUUUGACUCGCAUGCCAAAAGGGCUAGGUGAGAUGAGUAGCCUUCAGACAAUGAAUUUGUUUGUAUUAGGAAAAGAUAAAGGUGGCAAUUUAAGUGAAUUGAAUGAACUUAAAAGCUUGAGAGGAUCGUUAUGUAUUCGAGGAUUACAAUUUUGCACAACUAUUGAUAUAGAAAAUGUGAAAUAUUUUGAAGAAAAGUCUGAAAUUCGAAAGUUGAAAUUACAUUGGGACACAGACAAGAUGAAGCCAAAAAUUGAUGAUGCCUCAUAUGCUGAAGAUGAGAGGAUUUUGGAGUGCUUAAAACCACAUUCAAAUGUUUGCAAAAUGAGUAUAAAAGGAUAUAGAGGUAUAAAGUUAUGUGAUUGGGUGUCUCCUGAUUAUUUCCUGGGUGGUCUGGUUAGCAUAGAGCUUUGUCAUUGUGAAAAAUUGGAGCAUCUCCCUCAAUUUGAUCAAUUUCCAUGUCUCAAGAAUCUUGAUCUUGAGGACUUAUCCAAUAUCGAAUACAUUGAUGAUAGCAAUUCUGUUUCUUCAUCAACAACUUUUUUUCCAUCUCUUGAGAAACUAAGGAUUAAGAAGAUGCCUAAGUUGAAAGGGUGGUGGAGGAGGGGGGAAAUCCCAUCGAAUUACUCUGCUCAAUACACUGCCUCUCUUCCAACAGCAUUACAUCAGCUUUCACAAUUAUGGAUUUUGGAUUGUCCUCAGCUGGCUUUUAUUCCACAGCAUCCACCUUUGCAAUCAUUGGCAAUAGGGGGUGUUGGUUUGAAAGUUUUUGAUAUGGUAAUAAGAAUGGCUACAAACCUUGCUGCGGAUUCUUCUUCUUCUUCAACUCUGUCUAAAUUAUCUACUCUUGAGAUUGAAAAUAUUGAUAUCAAGUUCCUGCCAGAAGCGUUAAACUGCAAUAUGAAAGAUCUUCAGGUGCUUAGCAUUCGAAGUUGCAAAUAUUUACAAAUGUCUUCUUCCCGUCUCGUGUAUGAGGAAGAAGAUAGGCUAGUGUACUGGAAAGAACUUAGCAAUCUCCGCCAUCUUUGUUUUUGGGACAUUCCGAAAUUGGAGUAUUUGCCAAAGGGUUUGGAAUAUAUGACAGCUCUUGAAUCUUUAUAUCUACAAGAAUGUGGAAAUUUAGUGAGUAUUGAAGGGAUCGGCCAACUCAGUUCACUAUCAGACUUGAUUAUUUGCAAUUGUCCCAAUUUAACUUCAUUGCCGGAAGGAGUCAGCGGCCUGACUUCAUUGUCCUAUUUGUCGAUUAGAGAUUGUCCUAAUUUAAGGUCGUUGCCGGAAGGACUUAGCCAAAUCCGCUCCUUAAAAGGAUCAUUACAUGUGUCAAAAUGCCCCAAAUUGAGGAAGAGUUGGAAGAAGCAAAACAAAUACAGAAGGUUGAAGAAGAUGUUUAACUUGGACAACAAACAAACAGGUGAAGAUGAUCGCACUGAAAUCAUCUUUGAAAAGCCUCAACGUAGGUAUGCACAACCAUUUCUAUUCAUCACUUUCUUUGAUAAACGAUUGUUUCCAUAUGAUAAAACUUUUAACUUUCGAUCCUCUCAUGUCAAUUUAAUUCUCUACUCUCUCUUUCCGUGAUGAUUUUAAAAAAGGAUAAUCAGUAAAGAUUAGAAAGCUCUCAUUUCUCACUCUUAAUUACUGAUGGAUUGUGUUCAGCCCUGACAGCUUUUACUGUCAUUACAAACAUAAAUUACAUUAUAUUGGUUUUAAGAGCUGCAAAAACCAGAAGGAAUAGAAGGCAAGAAAUAAGAGUGUUUUUGCACUAAUUGCUGCUAAAUAAAGGGAGGAGGAAGGUGAUUUCCUGAAGGCACAGAUAAGUUCUAAGAGACCUUUUGUUUUGCUUUUCCUUUCAAGUAAUGUUUUUCAAAGAGACGACUUAGUUAAUAUCCUCAAUUGAUAUGUAUGUGUCGUGUAUCUUUCUAUUAUUAUUAUUGACAAUGGAAUUUUGACUAUGGUCAUGUGAUUUUUUACUCUUCAAUUUGGAGAGGUUAAGUUGUUGGUGUUAUGUGUUAGUGUAUAUUCUUUUUGGUUGCUUGACUCCUAAAAGAUAUUUAAACGAGAAAGAGAUAAUCUAAUUCGUAGCCAAAUUUGGUUUAGCUCAUCCAAGAGGUCCCAUUCCGAUGAAAAACCAACCUGCAAAGCAUUGACUGAGAAGAAAUAACAAUUCAUUCAUACAGUCUUAUCUCUAAUUUUUUUUUUGUUCUCGAAAUUAAACUCACACAAACCCUAUCUUAAUUUGUAAUAUAUAUAAUCUUUCAAUUUCUACCUUUUAUUAUUAUUAUUAUUUAAAUAUUACUCCACGUAUAUGUUA